UUCACGUCUACCCUCUUAGAGAUUAUUAUAACAAAAGGUGUCUCAUUUAAUUAUUCAGUCAAACAAAACUCUAUUUAAAUAUGUUACGCUUAAGUAAUGAAGACUGGGAGCGAAAGAAGUGGUAGGUAUUUGGCAAGAAAGUAUUUUGAGGACGAACCAAAGGAGGCAGUUCUCCAUCUUAUAUUUAUCGUCUCCUGUCAGAGUUGUACGAUCCAAAUGAUUAAGUAUCAAAUUUAAAUGGAGAGCUUGUAAAUAAAAUAUAUUAUUGGAAA